GAUGAACGCUAGCGACAGGCUUAACACAUGCAAGUCGAGGGAACGGCGCAAGGGUGCGUAACGCGUAUGCAACUUGCCUCACAGAGGGGGAUAACCCGUCGAAAGACGGACUAAUACAGCGUACUGUGAGAGAGGCAUGCGUCCCAUUAGCUAGUUGGUGAGGUAACGGCUCACCAAGGCAACGAUGGGUAGGGGAACUGAGAGGUUGCACCCCCACACUGGUACUGAGGCACGGACCCGACUCCUACGGCAGGCAGCAGUGAGGAAUAUUUGUCAAUGGGCGAGAGCCUGAACCAGCCACGUCUCGUGAAGGAUGACUGUCUAUGUAUUGUAAACUUCUUUUGUAGGGGAAUAUGUACCCUACGAAUAAGCAUCGGCUAACUCCGUGCCAGCAGCCGCGGUAAUUC
rnacentral:rRNA from 1 species